UACGUAGGUGGCAAGCGUUGUCCGGAUUUACUGGGUGUAAAGAGCGCGCAGGCGGUCGUUCAAGUCGCGUGUGAAAGCCCCCGGCUCAACUGGGGAGGGUCACGCGAUACUGAUCGACUCGAAGGCAGGAGAGGGUAGUGGAAUUCCCGGUGUAGUGGUGAAAUGCGUAGAUAUCGGGAGGAACACCAGUGGCGAAGGCGACUACCUGGCCUGUUUCUUGACGCUGAGGCGCGAAAGCUAGGGGAGCAAACGGG
rnacentral:rRNA from 1 species